CUGAAGUUCCCGCGGUUGCUUUUUUUUAAAAAGUGAUUGAUGUCAGGUGUGCGUCGACCUCUGUUGGAGGCCGCACGCGCUAACUGUGGUAAAACUAAUUGUCACGCACUCAUUACACUGAAUUAAGGACGUGUUUGUGUCUUGGCUGCCGGUAAAAUGUUUCAAACGCAGCUGGACGUCACGCCGUCAAGAUAAAUGUGUGGCCUGGAGUUUUAACAUCAGUCAAUGUUCCUCAGAAAUCAAACCUCGUUAAUGUAUCAACUCAUUUACAAACGUUUUGAGAAGAGUCGUCUGCGCCUCUGGCACCUGGUCCGGGCCUCACUUCUCCUGACGGAUACAGUAAAUAACGACUGUAACAUGAAAUUCAGAUCUGUCCACUGAUCUUUUAUACAUUUUAUAAAACAUACGUUGUAUUGAAAAAAAUAAAUAAAAUGUAUAAUUUUUCAUCAGUUUAAUUAUCUUUAUAUAAUAUUUUACUGGGUAACAGUCGCUGAAUUUGUGCAUUUCCUGAUUGGCAUGUUCCGUUUCUGUUUUUGCUUGACAUCAAUAUAAUGUUUGCAGUCUACAGAUUUUAUUCUACACCAUGACUUGUACAAUCUGCCUAAUGUGUUGAUCACCACAUUAGGCAGAUUGUUGUGCCUUAAUUAAUUCUGAUUGCGCUGAAGAGAAAACUUGAGGGGAGGCUAGAAAGUUCUCUGCUUAUUCCAGCAGCUUUAGUGCGUAAAACAGUUCAAGUAAAUUUUGACCUUGAGUGAAUUAUGCUCUUAUCCUAAUGAGGAGCAAACACAUAAAAAUUAUUAAUUUACAAAACAAAAACAAUUUUUAAAAUUUUUCAAAACUUCCCUGAGUGAAGGUAAUUGAACAUUUACACCUCCUGUAUACAGUACUUAAGAAUGAGUUGUGAAGAACACGUGGAGGGUAUAGAUUAAAUUGAGCCAAACUAAUUUUUCUUUUUUUUUUUUUUAAAUGAGAGUAAUGAUAAAAUGUAACCAUGGUACCAUGUUCUCACAAUUAAAUGGUGACAAAGACACUUUUUGAGCUAUUGCAAUUGUAGGUCUUACUCCAGGGGUCUCACCAGCCAUUAACCUCACCUCUCUGACACGUGGCUGCUCCCCCAUGGGAUGAGUUAAAAUCACCCGCUUCGGAUGUUAUCAGCCAUAACGAAUGGGCUGAUCAGAACUUAUCAGCGCAUUCGUACGGGCCAGUAGGUGCCCGCUCUUCCUACUCGCGAACAGCUCACAGCUAUCUAAAUUGCUAUGUUCAGCUUGCAACCAGUAGAUGUACAUCUGUCCCAGAAUCUGUAUGUGCAGCGCAGUAAUGAUCUGACAUCUUCCUCCAGGAUUAUCAGUCACAUGGGUACAGGACACCUUCUGCACCUUUGUCAUGGCAGGGUUGAGUCAUUUUUUUUUUUUUGAUUUUCAGGUGAGUUCAUAGCUCAAUGUACUGGCAGAACAGUAGUUAUUAUAAUUAGCAUGCUAUGAAAAUGGAGCAAAAGGAAACUUCUAAUGUCUGUCUCUGUCUAUCUUUUCAGGUAGAUCUACGAACUGUAAGUCACUAUCUUUUAUUUCUCUUGGCCGCCGUGCCUGUGUCCUGGCUUCUUUGUCAGGUCUGGCUGAUCAGAGUGGAUCUAUGUUGAUUCUGUUGCCCAUACUUUUUCUGUCUGUGUCAAACUGUUAGUUUCAUCCAAUUGACAUGGUUAAUGACAUUUUGUUUUAGACCGGCCGUCUACUGGUCCUAGUCAUAACUACCAGCCGGCUACUGGUAAGACCGGCCGUCUACCGGUCUUAGUCACAAUGACCAGCCGUCUACUGGUAAGACCGGCCGUCUACUGGUCCUAGUCAUAACUACCAGCCGGCUACUGGUAAGACCAGCCGUCUACUGGUCUUUUAUUUUUGGGUGAAACUAAUUUCUUUUGUAGGUUUAAGUAGAGAGCUUUUAGCUUGGUAGCUGGUGGUGGUCGGCCAUCUGCUUGGUUAGAUGUAGUUGCUUUUGUGGGCAGUCUGCUGGCUUAGACGUAGGUGGUGGUGGUCGGCCGUCUGGUUAGAUGUUUGGCAUGGGUAACCUUUUUAGCUGUUGAAGGAGAGCAGGUCUGAUUUGCACAGCUUGGUUUCCGAUGGGCAGGUCUAGGUCAGGAUGUCAGUUAUUGUCUAAUGACCUUUUUCCCCUCAGGCAUAUCUACAAAUGGUAAGUGUAGUUUUUAUUGUCUAUCUUGCCCCCCUCGUUUUGCCUCACCUGUAUCUUUUUUAUUCCGUUUUUGUUUCGCAUUUUAUUCAUGUUCAUUUUGAUGCCGGUUAGACCAUAAGGUCUAAAUAGCAAGUCCAACAGGUUUCCUUUUUUUAUUUUUCCAACUUGCGCGUACGUACCCGCAUUUAUUCAUUCAACAUGGCUUCCAGCUCUGCGAUUUUGUCGCUGUAGACCAGGAAGGUCUACACACAGUAAGUGGGUUUUGGAUGGCCGCCGUGCCAUCGCUACUAACCAAUUUGAUUUUCACCUUCAUCCAGAGGACCAUCCAUUUUGCUCGUCGUCAAUUUACAAAGGGUAAGUCCGUGUGUUUCCUUGGCUGCCAUGCCAAAAUCGCGAGCUUCCUUGCUCUCUGUCACUGUUUUCCUUGCUUCCCUUUAACCUGCUGUGCUCUUCUGAUGCUGCUUCUCUCUGGCCCCUGUGCCAAAACCUUCUCAACUGGUGGUUUCGUACAUCUGGUUAGGAAUGUGCAAUGACACGUGUUAGCUAGACCAGCCGACUACUGGUGCAGUUCAGGGGCACCAUUUGUGGGUUUAUUUCUUUGGCUGCCAUGCCAAAAUCGCGAGCUCCCUUGCUCUCUGUCACUGUUUCAUUUGCUUUCUCUUAGCGAAGGAAGAGCACAGUAGCUGCUUCUUUCUGUCCACUUUUUUUUUUUUAACCUUUUCCACUCUGAUCAGCCUGUUGUUGGAGUGAGCCAAGGAAGGCAGAGUCCAUUCUGUUUUUAUAGCUUGUGGCAAAUGGCUUACGGUCCUAGUGUGUUGUGGGCUGAGGUCCCAGUGGUUGGGGGGGGAGGAGACUGAAGAAGAGGAGACUGGAAGACUGAAGAUGUAGAGCUGUUACAGCGCCACCGAUGAUGGCAGAAGAUGGUACAGCAUGUCUACAGGACUCAUCGGUUGGCUCAGAGGUCCAAAGACAUCAAGGCAUCUCCUCCGAUGAAUGUGGCAAAGAAAAGGAUGCUGUGCGGAUAGUCUGUGUUGGUGGCUACAAGGCCUGGUUGAGAAAGCCAACUAGGGAUCAAUUGUCGCAUGGGUAUUGGACACCUUCUGCACCUGGGACAAUGGUGGGGUCCAGUCCUCUAGAAUUUUUUUGGUAGAUCUACGAACUGUAAGUCACUAUCUUUUAUUUCUCUUGGCCGCCGUGCCUGUGUACUGGCUUCUUUGUCAGGUCUGGCUGAUCAGAGUGGAUCUAUGUUGAUUCUGUUGCCCAUACUUUUUCUGUCUGUGUCAAACUGUUAGUUUCAUCCAAUUGACAUGGUUAAUGACAUUUUGUUUUAGACCGGCCGUCUACUGGUCCUAGUCAUAACUACCAGCCGGCUACUGGUAAGACCGGCCGUCUACUGGUCCUAGUCACAGCUACCAGCCGGCUACUGGUAAGACCAGCCGUCUACUGGUCUUUUAUUUUUGGGUGAAACUAAUUUCUUUUGUAGGUUUAAGUAGAGAGCUUUUAGCUUGGUAGCUGGUGGUGGUCGGCCAUCUGCUUGGUUAGAUGUAGUUGCUUUUGUGGGCAGUCUGCUGGCUUAGACGUAGGUGGUGGUGGUCGGCCGUCUGGUUAGAUGUUUGGCAUGGGUAACCUUUUUAGCUGUUGAAGGAGAGCAGGUCUGAUUUGCACAGCUUGGUUUCCGAUGGGCAGGUCUAGGUCAGGAUGUCAGUUAUUGUCUAAUGACCUUUUUCCCCUCAGGCAUAUCUACAAAUGGUAAGUGUAGUUUUUAUUGUCUAUCUUGCCCCCUCCCCCCUCGUUUUGCCUCACCUGUAUCUUUUUAUUCCGUUUUUGUUUCGCAUUUUAUUCACGUUAAUUUUGAUGCCGGUUAGACCAUAAGGUCUAAAUAGCAAGUCCAACAGGUUUCCUGCCUGCUUCCCCAAGUCCUUUUUUUUGUUUUUCCAACUUGCGCGUACGUACCCGCAUUUAUUCAUUCAACAUGGCUUCCAGCUCUGCGAUUUUGUCGCUGUAGACCAGGAAGGUCUACACACAGUAAGUGGGUUUUGGAUGGCCGCCGUGCCAUCGCUACUAACCAAUUUGAUUUUCACCUUCAUCCAGAGGACCAUCCAUUUUGCUCGUCGUCAAUUUACAAAGGGUAAGUCCGUGUGUUUCCUUGGCUGCCAUGCCAAAAUCGCGAGCUUCCUUGCUCUCUGUCACUGUUUUCCUUGCUUCCCUUUAACCUGCUGUGCUCUUCUGAUGCUGCUUCUCUCUGGCCCCUGUGCCAAAACCUUCUCAACUGGUGGUUUCGUUCAUCUGGUUAGGAAUGUGCAAUGACACUUGUUAGCUAGACCAGCCGACUACUGGUGCAGUUCAGGGGCACCAUUUGUGGGUUUAUUUCUUUGGCUGCCAUGCCAAAAUCGCGAGCUCCCUUGCUCUCUGUCACUGUUUCAUUUGCUUUCUCUUAGCGAAGGAAGAGCACAGUAGCUGCUUCUUUCUGUCCACUUUUUUUUUUUAACCUUUUCCACUCUGAUCAGCCUGUUGUUGGAGUGAGCCAAGGAAGGCAGAGUCCAUUCUGUUUUUAUAGCUUGUGGCAAAUGGCUUAAGGUCCUAGUGUGUUGUGGGCUGAGGUCCCAGUGGUUGUGGGUGGACAAAUUUACAGCCAGACGAGGGGAGACUGAAGAAGAGGAGACUGGAAGACUGAAGAUGUAGAGCUGUUACAGCGCCACCGAUGAUGGCAGAAGAUGGUACAGCAUGUCUACAGGACUCAUCGGUUGGCUCAGAAGCAUGUGGCGUUUCAAGGCGUUUCCAUGAAGCAGAUGUGGAAUUCAAAUGGACACUGGAUUCGCUGACUCCUCCCUCCCAAGUUUGAUCUUUUGUGAAACAAGGUUACAUAACACUUUAAAGGUAGAAUUUUGUUUUUUGGUCCAACUGCUGCCAGUUUUAUAGAAACGUCAAAUGCUUGAAGUUAUUGUUGCGGAGGAGUUGUGCUGUGCUCGCUGUUAUCAACAUUCUAAGUUGGAUGUUAGUCAAGUCAAUUUCAAUGGCCUCCAGGCUUUCAGUAUUAACUGCUGACUCAUCUCUGCCAUGUUUGGGUGCUGCGAAACUUUGCGAUAACUUAGUUUGUGUUGGCGCGUUUUAGAAUCUUAUUCUCAAAGCAUAAUGGGAGGCCUCCCAGCAGGGGAACCUAUUCCACCCCUGUUUAUUUUACAGUAGUUAAUUGUUGCACCGGACGGUCGGCGUAUUCAAAGGACCAAACCGGGCAGAGAUGACUCAAAGCAUUUCAGUGAGCACCCAGUUUAAGUUUCAUCCUAGUGAUGAGCACAACAGCAUGGCUAUCAAAGCCUAGGUUAUGUUUUAACAGUCAGAUAAGAUAAAAUUUGAACUUUUUUUCCUUUUUCUCAAAUGUUAAAUUUACCUCAAACUGGCAAUGAUGGAUGUACAAAGACCUUUUUAAUAUUUCUAACUGGUCUAUGAAGAUGAAAUGACGUUUAGUUCACCCUAAAAUGCAAGACUUAACAGAACCACUAACAUGUUUUGGCCUUGUACCGGCUGGAGAAUGUGGUUAGCCCUCAAAGGACCAUGCAGACAACAUGGUGGUUGCAGAAAAGAUAGGACCAACCAGUAGACAAGGGAAGACUGAAGAAGCAAAGCAGCCACAACCAAACCACCCAUGCAGGAUCAAAGUACAAAACAUCUGUAGAGGUUACGAUUCUGGCCACAGAACGGUUGGCUCAGGGAUCUGGACAUAAAGCUGUCUCUCGGUACUGCGCCUGACGUGACCAGUUUGACCUGUUUCAGAAUUGGCAAGUGACAAGUUGUUUUUGAAUUUUUUUUUCAUUACUUUUAACAUUUUCUAUGACUUGAUUUCACAAACGUUGUAAUUUCAAACUGGACUAAAGGAAUUUCAGUAAAUACUUAAACACAAGUCCUUAUU